AAUUUCAACAAAAAUUCUGAUAUUAUCUUAAAUUAUUUAAUCCUGCUGUAAUCUUCCACUCUUGCUUACCUUAGUUCGUGUGUGUUUUUGUCUCUGCUGAGAUACUUCUACUGAACAAAAGGCUAGAAGCAGCUCUGUUACAGCCAAUUUAUUGCCUGAACGGAGGGCAGGAAGCCAAACCUCUGAAUAAAACAAAAGUCUGACGUGGACCUAAUCUCCUAGAUCUCUACAUACUUUCGUUUAUAUACACGUUCUAACGGUUCUAACUGCUCUUGGAAUUACAGGAGUGUUGGAAAUUGCAGGAACAAACUUUUAAAUGUCUGUUUCUAUAAGAUGCCACAGAAGAUUUUGUGCCUAGAACUGCAUGCGAAUUUUUAGCCACUAGUUCUGUGUAUUCUGUUCCUAUAUUUUAUGUCACUAACAUUGCUCUUGUUUUCUGUCAUUCUUCCAAGGCUGAGCCAUGUGCAGAGACUGGGUUUAUAGCAAUAUAAACAUAUUAAAAGUAGAACUGUAGCCUCUGUUUCAGGGAGCUCAUGAGAAAUGGUUGAUCAAUAGUUAACUCAUGUAAGCAGAGUUAACUGUUAAGAGACAGCAAGUGUUAAUUACAAAACCUAAGAAGCAGGAUUCACCUUAACCUUGUCAAGAUUAGAGGAACAAUAAUUUACUUGAAACCAACACAGAAACUGCUGAAUCAUUCCACAAAGGACUGCGCAUGCUCCAGAAAGAGAGGUGAAAAGUGCAUUGUGAUAGAUUACUGACCUUCAUCAGAAAGACUCCCGAGGAAGAAGAGGAGCCUUCCUCAGUGCGACCACCAGGACACACCACCCAUGUGUGACACAUAUGCUAAUGAUAUUAAUGACUUCCGAGAACUGAUUUGUAUAACCACUCCUAUCCCAAGGAAUGUGAUGACAAUUCAUGAAUUUUACCCAUAAUAUUGUGUUGUAGUAAGUGCCAGUGUGUGCGCUUGGAGGAGUAAUCCCCCACACCCGGCACACCAAAUAAAGCAAAUACCCACUUCUUGGACUCUGUCUCUGAAGUGUCUCUUGGCCCAGUUUGGGGCAAUUCACUCAAAACAAACUGCUAAAACAUUAACCCAGCUAUCAAAUGGGCUUUGCAGGCAUUGCAUCAAUGGGAAUACUUGGACUGCUUGUGACAUGAGUGAACUGGCUAAAGCGGAUGUGAUACACUUCUCCGCCUGUGAAGCACAGGACUGA
rnacentral:lncRNA from 13 species